GAUGAACGCUAGCGGCAGGCCUAACACAUGCAAGUCGAACGGUAACAGAGAAAGCUUGCUUUUUGCUGACGAGUGGCGCACGGGUGCGUAACGCGUAUACAAUCUACCUUUUACAGGGGGAUAGCCUUUAGAAAUGAAGAAUAAUACCCCAUAGUAAGUAAAAUUCGCAUGGAUUUUACUUUAAAGAUUUAUCGGUAAAAGAUGAGUAUGCGUUCUAUUAGCUAGAUGGUAAGGUAACGGCUUACCAUGGCAACGAUAGAUAGGGGCCCUGAGAGGGGGAUCCCCCACACUGGUACUGAGACACGGACCAG
rnacentral:rRNA from 1 species